UAGUUGAGACUAUUGAGAUGUAAGUGGGAAUGCUUUAAAUUGUCCAGACCAGGGGAGUAAGGAUAAGACCAAGCCUUCUACUCUAAAUGAAAAUAUCUUAUUGAGAAGUGAUCUCCAGUACACUAACCUAUGAAAGGACAAUGUGGGAAGACAGACUGGGAUUAACAGAUUGUUUCGUUUUGAAGAAAAGAGGGCGCCUGGGUGGCGCAGUCGGUUAAGCGUCCGACUUCAGCCAGGUCACGAUCUCGCGGUCCGUGAGUUCGAGCCCCGCGUCAGGCUCUGGGCUGAUGGCUCGGAGCCUGGAGCCUGUUUCCGAUGCUGUGUCUCCCUCUCUCUCUGCCCCUCCCCCGUUCACGCUCUGUCUCUCUCUGUCCCAAAAAUAAAUAAACGUUGAAAAAAAAAAUUAAAAAAAAAAAAAAAAAAGAA